rnacentral:rRNA from 1 species
UACGGAGGGUGCGAGCGUUGUCCGGAAUCAUUGGGCGUAAAGGGCGCGUAGGUGGCCCGGUCAGUCUUUGGUGAAAGCGCGGGGCUCAACCCUGCGUCGGCCAGGGAUACUGCCGCGGCUCGAGCACUGUAGAGGCAGGCGGAAUUCCGGGUGUAGCGGUGGAAUGCGUAGAGAUCCGGAAGAACACCGGUGGCGAAGGCGGCCUGACUGGGCAGUUUAGCUGACACUGAGGCGCGACAGCGUGGGAGCAACAGG